rnacentral:snRNA from 1 species
AUCGAUCCUUUAGACCUUCG